ACAGUUCAACCUCCCAUCACUUGUCAGCAUCUCUCUGUGAUCCAUCUGGCCACAGCGGGAAUUCUGUCACCUCAGCAUCCUCUCCUGUAUCCUUCUCCUGUAUCCUUCUCCACUCUGACUUGGCCAGAGCAUCUGAGAAGACGGUCUCAGCAGUUCUCCUUCCACCGUGAUCCUCUCCUUCCAGACUCACUUCUUCUUUACAGCCAUGACCAAAUCACUGAUCCGGAAUCCACCAUCUUACAUCUACACCACGGAAAUCAAUGGAUUAUUUCAUCCUCUACAGGACAAAAUGCACCCAGAGACAACUGGGAACCUCGGAGAGAGAUGAUUGUUCUGUCAAGUAACAGACAUGGAUGAAACGUAGAAGCCUCGGGUUUUCCUCAAACCUUCUGCACUCUCUUGAAUAUGUAUAGAACUGAAAAUCCCACAAAAAUGAGAAAUGAACCUGGCACAGUGGCAUGUGCCUGUACUAACAGCUUGCAGAGUCUGAGGCAGGGGGAUGCCUGGGUUGAGGGAAGGCUGUUCUACCUAGGG